UACAGAGGUCUCAAGCGUUGUUCGGAUUCAUUGGGCGUAAAGGGUGCGUAGGCGGCGCGGUAAGUCGGGUGUGAAAUCUCGGAGCUUACUCCGAAACUGCAUUCGAUACUGCCGUGCUUGAGGACUGGAGAGGAGACUGGAAUUUACGGUGUAGCGGUGAAAUGCGUAGAUAUCGUAAGGAAGACCAGUGGCGAAGGCGGGUCUCUGGACAGUUC
rnacentral:rRNA from 1 species